UUUCAUCAUAUUUUUCGAUUAGAAGAAAAAGUUACAAAAUAUAUAAAUUAAUUUACAGUUAGAACGAAACAACCAUAAAAGCCAAUUCUUUGCUCUUCCCGUCGCCUCCCGAUCCUUGAACAGCGACGGAGCUCGAAAUCCACCAACUCUCCCUUCCAAUAUCCUUCCUUCUCAACACUCUCACCCACUUGCUUCUUUCUCCAAUUCAAAUCCGAUAUAUCCUCCCUUCUUCCACUCUCGGAGCCACCGGAAGAGGAAAAUAUCGGUAUCCAUUUGUCACUGCAGAAUAUCAGCCUACCGCCCUGGCCAAGGCCGAGGAGGUCUGUGAGUUAUUGCCACAGAGAACCACCGAGUACUUUGGGCUCCGCGAUGAUGCAGAUCAGCGAGACUCUUCCUGGGCAUCAAUUUGCUUCUGUUAGAGCAGAAGUCGAGAUGGCCUUGAUUGAUGCUAUUGCUAACAGCAAUGCCGCUUUGAAAACUAUUUGGUGGAGUUCCAGACAGUAUAACCACUGAUAUAACAAUUCCUUACUUCUGCUUCUAAUGCUGCCAAAUUAACUGCAAAAUAUCGCGAUAAGGGAUUCUAGACGUUGAAGCUGAAGGUGGGAAAGGAUCUAAAAUCUGAUAUUGAAGUUCUUCAGUGCAUCAGAAUGGUCCAUCCUGAUUGUGAAUUUGUCCUGGAUGCUAACGAGGGAUAUGACACAGAAGAAGCUAUCCAAGUUCUUGAAAAGUUACAUAGUAAAGUUUUCUGGUGCUGUGUACAAGUUCACAAAGUCCAGAGGCCAUGGUGGUUUCCUUCAUGGGGAUAACAUUGCAUUGAGGGUUUUUUUUGAGUGAUGUGGGGAUGCAGGAUAUCCUCGGAGUGGUUUGCUCUUUCAGUUUCUUGAGCAAGAUCCUCCUUUUCAAUAUAUACCAUUGGUUGAUAAUGCUAGAUAUUUAAACUUAGCUUACCAAUUUCCUGGUUUGAAAACUUUAAGAAGUUGUGGUAUCUUUCCCGCUAGUUGGGCCUUUGUAGAAUGGUGGUGGUACCCUAUCAAUCGUAUACCCACUAGUCGGACCUUAAAAGAUUUGGAUGCUUACUUUUUAACAUGUUACUCUUUUUCCACACCCAAAAAAGGCUCCCAUUCAUUCAUUUUGUCAACUCAACGAACCCAUUAACUUCUGCUGAGCCUACCGUAAGAUGAAUUAGAACAUGUAAUAGACAUAACCUACCGCCAGUAUGGUAUGUCCAAAGGACAUCGAUGAUAUCACAAAGAUCUCCCCACCUAUUUUUGGAAUGGCUUCUUAUAAGCUAAAAACAUUCAAUAUGAGGGCAAAAUGACAUCAAAGAGCAUCCAAAAGCAAAUUCUCUCAUGCAGCAGAUAAGUGGUUGAGGAGCCUUCAGGUCAGUAAACUUGAUUUUCAAUUCUUUUCAUCUCAUGGGACAUACAGGAAAUGACAGGUGAUGACUCAACAUAUAUAUAUAUAUAUGUCUACUUCUAUGUUGCUUAUUCCUUGGAAACUUGAGCAAAGCUAUUCUCUAUUUCUACACUCCUAUCAAUUGUUUCUCUGGUUUUGUAAACAUGAAGAAGUACAACCUUGCUACUGUAUGUAUAUUACCUAUGUUUUUACACUUUUUAAAUUUACAUAUAAGUAUAGAUGAAAGUAGAAAUAUCAUCUUUGCAACAUUUUUAUAUUUUUGAACAUGGAUGGAAUAGGAAUCAUAUUCCCCAUGCAACAUUGGAUAAAGUUGAACCAUUUAAAAUAUUCAUAAGGGAACGUGGAAAAUGUGAAUCAACAUUCUUUUCCUUCCUUGAUUGACGUGAAACCUUCUUGGAAUAGUAAUUCUUUUUGUGAGAAAUUGGACUAUAGAAAAGAAACUUUCAUAGUUAUCUUACCCCAUCAAAAGUUUACACCAGAAUAACCUAUUAUGCCACUUGUUACUUUUUCUCUUUUAGAUGUGUUGCCCUCAUCUUUUUGUAGUUUGCUCCAACCUUAUAUGGUAGUUAGUAAAACAGGAAAAAUACCCAAGUACAAAUAUCACAAUGAUAACAUUCAGAUCCAUCCUCUCCAACUCCAAAGAAAACAAGUUUGAAAAAAACAUCUUUUUUGAUCCAUGAGUUUUGAUGAUCAAGUGCAUUUGGUCGUUAGUCUCCAAUUUUAAGAAAUUAGUUUUAAAGGUCGUUUAAAGAUAAAUUAAUUAAAUUUAGAUUAACCAAAUUGAGUUAUUUGGGAAUGUGAAAAAUAUAAAUAUAUUUUUAGUAUUUUCUGCGGUGUCUUUCUUUUUCCCCGGUCUCUUACCCCUCGUUGUCUCUUCUCUCCUCUCCUCAAUUUUUGUUCCCAAAUCUUUCAAAAGAACCGGAAAAACCUAACUUAGCCACACCCAUUUCUCCAAGGUUUAUUGCAUUGACGCACAAAAGGGGCAAGAAACUUCGGGAUGAGGAAGAGCUAUGGAACAAUCUUAAAAUCAAAAAAUGGGUUAGGCUAUAGAAAUUUAUUGAAUAGGUAAGGAAAUUGAACAGCUUGUUGCUUGGCGGAAAGAACACAUUUAGAGCGUUAAGUUAAACUAGAUACAAUUGUUUACUUUUCCAUUUCUUUUCUGCAAAUUUAAUUUGUAGGUUUUGGAUUCGUGUGAUUGAGUUUGUUUGGGUAUUAUAUUGAUUUUGCCAUAGAGACGGAAAAAGAGAGAGAAUAGUUAGACAUGUGGUGGGAAGUGAAAAAUCGGUAGAUGUGACAAUAAUUUCCUCGUUUUUCUUCUCUGUAAAUAGCUGAAAACAACAUAUUUGCUCUCACAGUCUAACUUCAUUACUAAAGCUAGCUAGAUGGUAGCUACUUCGUUUCUAAUAUAAACCAUUCUUACUCAUAAUCCAAUACAUAGUUUUCUUAAAGGAUUUGGAUGUUUUCUUUUUAACACAUCAUUCCCUUUCCACACCCACAAGAGAUGAUAUGACAUUCUUAUUUUCUACUGGUUUUCUGUUGCUAAUUUUUCGUUAAUCUUCAAGAUAUGUAUUCUCUAGCUUGCAUUCACACAUUAAUUUCUGUUGAGAUUGCCAUAAAGAUGAAUUAGAACAAGCAAUCAUGGUCAUUACCUGUUUUUCUAACAUCUCCACUCUCAUAAGAAUACUAUUUUUUCUUUUCUAGUACUUUUAUCCGUCUUAUUGAUGAAGCUUGUUGUUAUUAGCCAAGUACUGGUCAACCGAAUAAUUGAUUGUUCAAAGAAAGACCCUUUCCCUAUGAUUGCCCAUGUCAAAGGUAUGUUGUAAUCCUUCUCAGUCUCUUGCUGACAAACAUAUGCACUGGUGCUUACAUUACCUAUGGAGUUAUAUUUUGUUAAAUCAUGGAUAAUGGUAGAAUUAAGAUAACAUUAUUUCUCAUGUGUAUACAAUAUCUCCAUCGUCUGUCUAAUAAACCGGAUGUAGGCUUGUGUUCAUUCUUCUUCAUGUCCUUACCACUCUCGGUGAAACUUUAUCCAAGAGUUCGAGUAACUUUUCAAAUUUUGCAGGAUGUGAAUAACACAUCAAAUGUUAUUUUUCACCAACUCCUUGUACAUUUCGUUUUGGAGCUUAUUCAUUGCUUUUCUGCUCAUCUUUUAAGCCUCUGCUCUACUGAAGAAAAUUUUAAUUACUUCAACUAAUUACUAGUAGACUUAACAUUUGUUUGUCCUGAACUAAAUAGAUGAUUUGCUUCUGCUUCAUCUAGAGCUCUUACGUACUUGAGCCCUUUCGUACUUGAGCCUAUCUCAUUCACUAGCCACCAUUGUCUGCAGAAAUCCAAUUUUCCUUCUGUUGUUUAAGGAUCGUUAAUUUGGCUUAUUCUCCACAAGUGUUGAUUGUUUUCACUGCUUCACAGGUAAUAGAAAGAGCCUGCCACUAGUAAUGAUAUAUCCAAAGGAUAUUGAUGUCACCGGAAGGGUCUCCUUCCUGUAUAUGGAAUAACUCUUAUAUGGAAUAACUCUCCUUCCUGUAUAUGGAAUAACUCUUAUAACCUGAAAUGAUCGAUAUGGGGGCAAAAUGGCGUCAAGGAGCAUUAAACAAAAAACUCUCAUGCAAGCUGCAGAUAAGUGGUUGAGGAGCCUUCAACUCGAUAUCUUUGCAUCAUAUGGGACAUAUUGGAGAUGACAAGAAAUGACUCAAAAUAUGUUUCUACUUCCAUGCGGCCUACAUGAACUACCAAAAUCCUCGUACCCUUUUCGACUAUUAGACAUGCACCAAAUACUGGUAAGACACAUUUUGAUUUCGAGUGAUUUGUUCUUUUUGAGAAUAUAUUUCAUGGAGGCAGUUAAAGAAAAAGUUUGCAUCAACUGGUUAGGACAAGCAACCACAGGGAAAGGGUCUUUCUAUGAACAAUCAGUUAUUAUAUAGUUGACUUGUACUUGACUAAUAACAACAAGUUCCAUCAAAAAGACGGAUAAAAGUAAUAGAAAGGACAAAAAUAGCAUUCUUAUGAGAGUGAGAUGUUGGAAAAACGGGUAACGACCAAGAUUGCUUAUUCUAAUUCAUCCUUAUGGUAAUCUCAUUAGAAAUCAAUGUGUGAAUGCAAGCUAGAGACACACAUAUCUUGAAGAUUAACAAAGAAUUAGUGACAGAAAACCAGUAGAAAACUAAGAAUGUCAUUAUCUCUUGUGGGUGUGCAAAGGGAAUGAUGUGUUAAAAAGAAAGCAUCCAAAUCCUUUAAGAAAAGGAUGUAUUGGAUUAUGCCUAAGAAUGGUUGAUAUUAGAAGCAAAGUGGCUACCAUCUAGCUAGCUUUAGUAAUGAAGUGAGACUGGGAGAGGAAAAUAUGUUGUUUCAACAUAUUUUUUGAGAAGAAAAAUGGGGAAAUUAAUCACACGAAAGUCACAUCUACCAGAUUUUCACUUCCCACCACAUGUCUAACUCUUCUCUCUUUUUUUUUGUCUCUAUUGCAAAAUCAAUAUAAUACCCAAACAAACUUAAUCACACGAAUCCAAAACCUUCAAAUUAAAUUUGUAGAAAAGAAAUGGAAAAGUAAACAAUUGUAUCUGGUUUAACUUAACGCUCUAAAUGUGUUCUUUCCUUCAAGCAAGAGGCUGUUCAAUUUCCUUACCUAUUCAAUAAAUUUCUAUAGCCUAACCUAUUUUUUGAUUUUAAGAUUGUUCCAUAGCUCUUCCUCGUCUAGAAGUUGCUUGCCCCUUUUGGGCAUCAAUGCUAUAAACUUUAGAGAAAUGGGUGAAGCUAAGUUAGUUUUUUCAAGUUCUUUUGAAAAGAGAACGAGAGGUGAGAGACUAGAGAAAAAGAAAAAGACACCACAGGAAAUACUAAAACUAUAUUUAUAUUUUUCACAUUCCCAAAUAACUCAUUUGUUUUUUUUUUAAUCCAAUUUUAAUUAAUUUAUCUUUAAAUGACCUCUAAAACUUAUUUUCCAAAAUUUGGAGAUUUACAACCAAAUGCACUAUCAUCAAAGCUCAUGGAUCAAAAAGAUUUUUUUUUCAAACUUAUUUUCUUUAUUAUUAAAAUUUAUCUCAAAACCUUCAAAUUAGGUCGACGGUUAGAAAUUCUAAUUUAUAGUAACAUUUAAAAAACAAAAAGGUUUGGAAAAAAUAAAUUAGAGAAAAUUGAGCCAUAUUUUUUUGGUUAAAUAAAAUGUACUCAAUAAAAUAAAUAAACAAAUACAAAUAAAAAGAUUGGUUUUAUGGUUAAUUAAAAUAGACAGCGCUUUUAAAGAUAAUAACUAAGUAUGCAACUAAACUUUUAUAAAACUUGAAAUAUAACAAAAUCUAUUAGUAAUAGAAUCGGAGAGGGAUCUAAAUGUUAUCACCAUUGUACUAACUACCAUAUGUGGUUGGAGCAAACUACAAAAAGAUGAGAGCAACACAUCUGAAGGAGUAUGGUAACAAAUGACAUAAUGGAUUAUUUUGGUGUAAACUUUUGACGGAGUAAGAUAACUAUGAAAGUUUCUUUUCUAUAGUCUAUUCUCUCACAAAUAGAAUACUAUUCCAAAAAAGUUUCACGUCAGAGGAAAAGAGGAAAAGAAUGUUGGUUCUUGUUUUCCACAUUCCCUCAUGAAAUUUUAAAUGGUUCUUUCUCCUAAUGUUGGAUAGGAAAUAUAUUUUCUAUUCAAUCCAUAUUAAAAAAUAUAAAAAUGGUACAAACAUAAUAUUUCUACUUUCAUCUAUACUUAUAUGUGAAUCUAACAAGAGUGAGAACAUAGGUAAUAUACAAAAUGGGAGUGUAGAAAUAGAGAAUAGACUCGAACAAGUUUCCAAGGAGUGGGCAACAUAGAAGUAGACAUAUCUGUUAUUAUCACCUGUCAUCUUCCGUACGUCCCAUGAGAUGAAAAGAAUUGAAAAUCACUGACGUAAAGGCUCCUCAACCACCUAUCUACUGUCUGCAUGAGAGAAUUUGCUUUUGGAUGCUCGUUGAUGCCAUUUUGUCCUCAUAUUGAUUGCUUUUAGCUUAUAAGCCAUUCCCAAAAAAGGCAGGGAGAUCUCUGUGAUAUCAUCGACGUCCUUUAGAUAUACCAUACCUGUGAUAGGCUAUGUCUAUUAACUUUUAAGCAACAAAGGAUAAACGUUACAAGAAAAAACAAUAAAUAAAUAAAAUAACAUUUUUCUGAGAGUGAGAAGUCGGAAGAACUCUAAUAUAAUUGCAUGUUCUAAUUCAUCUUAUGGUAGACUCAACAGAAGUUAGUGGGUUCAUUUAGUUGAUAAAAUGAAUGAAUGGGAGCCUCAUUGAAGAUUACCAAAAUAGUUACAGGUACAAACCAUAAGAAAACUAAAAAUGUCAUAUUACCUUUUUUGGGUGAGGAAAGGGAGUGAUAGGUUAAAAAGCAAGCAUCUAAAUCUUUUAAGGUCGGACUAGUGGGUAUACGGUAUAUAGGGUACCUACAAUUCUAGGGAAGGACAUGAAUACCAGGUUUUACAAAACUAGUAAUAACAUUCAAUCACCAAAGACUUACCACCAUGCUACAAAGGCCCAAUUGGCUGGCAGGAGAUCGCAAUUUCUUAAAGUUUUCAAACCAGGAAAUUGGCAAGCUAAGUUGAAAUAUCUGUCAUAACACAAACAAUACUAGUAAACUAAUGGGGUUCUCAAAAUAGCAAAAUAUGAGACAAUAUAAUUACUAAAUGAACCAAAAACCAACUAACUUUACCAGUCAAGGGUACCUGUUUCAAAGGAAGACCUUGCUCAAGAAACUGAAAGAGCAAACACUUCGAGGAUAUCUUGCAUCCCCACAUCACUAAAAAAACCCUUUUCCACCAUUUACGUCCAUCGGUUAAUGACGUCUUUCUCAUUUUAAGAAUGUUUUCACAAGCUAAAUGGUGGAGAUCCCAUUGUUCUCUAGAAAAGUAAUUAAAAGCUUUUUCCUAAAUCAUUGUCAAUGCCUCCAUUGCUGCUUGUAUCUCUUAAAGAAUCAAGAUCAUUGUCCUCACAAGCCAACCUACCAAAUAUAAAGAAACAAAAGAAUGAACCACGUUCGUGGAAAACCAAUGUUCUCAUACGUUAAGAAUGAUAGGAAAAGUUCUUGAUCACAUCUAAAAAGAAACCCAUACUAGAGUAGAAGAUAAAUCUUGGUAAAAUAGAUCUCACACUCACAGUUCGUUAAAAACAGAUAUAUAUUUGAUUUCAAGCAAAAGAAUUCAAGUACUCAUGAUGAUUAACAUAUUCCACUUAGAGAUCAAGUACCUGGCGUGAGAAUCUGAUCUCCAUGCAGCAGCUUCGCCAUGUAUUUGGAUACCAGACAAAUAUGGAGCGUAAUAUUGAACAAGAUCAUUCAGAAAUGAAAUAAGGUUGAAACUCAAUAUCACAAGUCCUCCAUUCCCUCAUAGUUGUCUGGAAAGAAAGACAAUAUCAUCAUAAAAAAUUCAGAUCUCCAAAGAAAAAUAGAAACAAAAAUCUCCCAGACGGGAUUAUUUACUUAGAGGCAAAAAAACUUGUAAAUGCAGAAAAAACCAUGAAGGCCAUUACAGGGCCACAAGAAAUGGAACAAAGAUUAUGAUCCUAAUUUGGUCAUUAACUAAAAAUUUAUCGGCAACCAUUCAAGAUUGUACGUAAUCAACUUUCUUUGAUUCUAAGCAUUUUCCUUAGAGAAGCACUGUGUUGGAACUGAAGGCCUUGUGUGUUCCAAGAAUCAACUUUACUUGAUGGGCUCUCAGUUUCAUCGGUCUUGGUAGGACUCCUUGAAGGCUUUUGAUGAUUAUAAUUCUUUCUUGCCCUUACCGGAAUAUAAAACCGGUCUUCACCCUUGAUUCCUCCAAAUUGCAACGCAGUUCCCAACAUUUCUAUAUCUAUAACCCAAAAGAAGAACUCUCCGUUUAGUAUCAAUUGAAAACAGAGGAAAGGAAACCACAAAGAUUAUAAUGGGGAACCCCAAAUUUCUUUAAAAUGGGUAAAAAUAACUCAUACCACAAGAACAAAAGAAGAUUACUCCUGGAAGUAGUGCAAAGCCGAGGAAAAUGGGGUUUCAAAGAAAAGGGGUGCAUAUUCUUUAAGGGUGAAUUGUAUUCGGCUGCAAAAAUAUUUAUAUAAUUUGUAAAUAUAUCUUCAAGAUUUCCUAAUUCAUAUAUAUAUAUAUAGCAAAUUACGAAAACUGAUAUAUUUAUUUAAUUUUAAUUGCUAUUGUACUGUUAUAAAAUUCUCUUUAUAACAAGAUUGAAGAUUCCCUAUUUUCCUGGGUAAAGUACUCUUCUUGGAAGAGGAUAGGGUUACUCUCUUUGUUGACCUACCUCUCAGUUGCGUUAGAGAUUUGCCGCAUCUCUUAGUAAGAGUUAUACAAAAUAGGAAGUUUGUUUAAUAAAGAAGAGGAGUAGUCAUCUCCAUAUCCCUAAGAGUUUGAGCUCCAUCUAGGUGAUAUGAACCUAAAUUCUUUUUCCAAUGAUACACAAGUGCCCCAGUUGAUCAGAGAAAACACAAAAUAGGAUUUCAAAUUGAUUCAAACAAACUUGAACCAUAUGAGAACAUGGGGAAAUUUUGAGAAAUACUGAUUUUUUUUUGUUUUACAUUUCAAUAGUAUAGUUUUAGGAAAACUGGUAAUUUUGUAUUUGUUUGUCAAUCUCGAUCGUGAUUGAUCAAGAUUUUCCUAGAAUAUUAAAAUUUUCCAACUUAUUGGUUGUUUUGGGUUUUCUAAAUAAUCUCUAGACCGAGAUUCUACCAUUUUUCAAAUCAUCUCCAAUCUUAUUUAUUUGUUUAUUUUUAUUUUUUUUUAAAAAAAUAUUCAAACCUUUCCAAAUCUUUUUCAUUUUUUUUUUAAAAAAUAUUCAAACCUUUCCAAAUCUUAACUAAUUUUUGCUACUUUUGUCAAUUUCCCCAACUAUUCUCUGUAAAUUACCUUUUUCUUUUCCCAAUCCUUUGUCUUCUUCAACCCAGAACCUUCUUUUACAUUACUUAACCACAACCGAGUCAUCACUCUGUAUCUUUCUUGCUUUUGGCCAAUCAAUUCUUCCACCUCUCAUCAAGGAAAAAUGGUAAUUUAGAAGGAACAGUCGGAAAAAUUGACUGAAAGAUAAAAAAAUAGUUAAGAUUUGGUUAAAAGUUUGCAAAGGUUUUAAUAAUUUUUUGAAAAAAUAAAAAAAUUAAAUAAGAUUUAGGAAGAUUUGAAGAAUAGUAAAAUCUAAUUGUCUACUGAGAUACACCCGAAAAACCAAAAUAAUGAUAAAUUAAAAAAAUUUCAUAUUUUAGAACAUCUAGUGGUCGAUUUCGCUUGAGAUUGACUGAUAAAACAAUUUUACGAAUUUUAAAAAUGUGAUAUUUUUGAAAUCAAAAAUAAAAAGUGUGCUACUUUUGUCAAUUUCUCGAUGAUAUUGGUGGCGUGGACAUGCUUUUUCUGUUUUUUUGCUACUAGUGUGUUUAAUUAUAAUUUUGUUUGUCACCAAAAUUAAAAAGAGGUAUGAAGGUUAGUUAAAUGAUAGUGAUCAUCAUCUUUCAUCAUUCAUCUUUCUCUACGACGAUUGAAAGUUAGAUAUUAGAUAUUCUAUCCCAUAAUUUUAUCUAAAUAUUUUACCCUCUUUAUUUUUUGUCGGUUGAUCUUUGUCUAUUUACUUCCCUUUUUCUUCUUCUUCUUUUUCUUUUUUUGUAACGACAGAAACACCAAUAUGACCACUAUUAUAUACAUGUUUUGUUGAACUAAAGUUUUAUUAAAGCUUAGUGAAGCAAAAAAGUUUAUAGUUCUAAAUCAGCUAACAAUUUUCAAGCGCCAGAGCCUUCAAACUAAAAUCCGCCAGGUGAAGCCAUCAGUUCCAAUUCUGGGGAUCUCCAAGUUUCUUGAGAAGUGACUCGGCGAUGAAUUUGUAGGCUGCUUCCGUCGGAUGAAUGCUAUCCCAAAACAUAAAUUUUGAUGAAUUUUCACACGUUGGGAUUUUUGGAUUACACAAAGGCCCUGCUUCCACCAAUCCAGUUCCACAGCAACCUUUGUUCGUGUGCUCAAAACCUGUUUGAUGAACAAAAUGAGGGGAUUCUCAAAUGCUAUGGUCUCUUGAAUGGGAAGACAACCAACAGGUGGGAGGCCGGCAACCACUAUGUUUCGGCAUCCAAGUUGGAAUGACUUUGGAUAUAGCAGCAGUUAGAUCAUCGAAUCCCGUGCCGGCAGAUGCAAAACUAACCCCUGUUUUUAUGUCAUCAUUUGACAAUUUUGGAUCCAAAAAUGGAGGUACAAGUUCUUUUAUCCCUAACCUAGAAGCUACCAUAUCAGGAAUGAGUUUUCCAUCACUGAACCUUCCAGUAGCAAGAUGACCCGGGAAAUUUUUGCCAUACGGGGAGUAAUUGCCCUUGAAAAUGGUGGGAAUGAAGUUGUUAUUUCCGGUAUCCACCGUAGAAUCGCCGAAUAUGAGAAUGGCAGGAAACGAUGGAGAAGUUUUUGGCUCUAAAGAACUGCACGGUUUGGUAAGAAGUAGCAGCCAAAUUGUGUGGAGUGAUAGAGCAGCAAUGAGGCAGUUAACUCGUGUCAUAGCUGAUGUUCUUCAAAUUCUUGUGUUUUGAUAUUUAACUUUGCUAAUUGGUCAAUGUAUUUGUAGAGAUUGAAGGAUAUAUGUAACAGUAAGUUCAUUAUGGUUCUUAGAUGGAGUUUUUAGUCAAGUUAUAUAGAGCAAACCGUUUAUGAAUUCAUUGCCUUGAGAAAGGGUAGGGAAUUAAAGGCAAUUGAAGGACAUAUGUUUCUUGAAGAAUAUAUGAAAGCAAUUGAAUGAAAUAAUUAUGGUUGAUUUGGUUUUA